rnacentral:lncRNA from 1 species
GGCUAUUGAAAUACCCCAGGUCCAACUAUGGCCUUCCUUGGCCACCCCCAUCCAUUGCCAAUACCUCUACACACGUAAAUUGGAGCUCGGACUACACCUCUCGGACUACACCUCUCCUAAAAGAAAGAAGCCCAGAUUCAAGAAGUAAUUUGCCAAAAGGGAGGCGGUGACAAGACUGGGCUGGAAUUGGGCCCUCAGGGU